AUAGUCCAUAUUAUCCUAAUAUCGCAUGUUAGAAGGAUUAAAGUUUCGACGGGUACGGAUGGGCAUAUGUGGGAUUAACUUGUAGGUGAGGUAACGGCUCACCAAGGCUACGAUGGGUAGGGGGCCUGAGAGGGUGAUCCCCCACACUGGUACUGAGACACGGACCAGACUCCUACGGGAGGCAGCAGUGAGGAAUAUUGGUCAAUGGGCGAAAGCCUGAACCAGCCAUGCCGCGUGCAGGAUGACUGUCCUAUGGAUUGUAAACUGCUUUUCUGCAGGAAGAAACGCUUCUACGUGUAGAGGUUUGACGGUACUGCAGGAAUAAGCAUCGGCUAACUCCGUGCCAGCAGCCGCGGUAAUACGGAGGAUGCAAGCGUUAUCCGGAUUCAUUGGGUUUAAAGGGUGCGUAGGCGGAUUGGUAAGUCAAAGGUGAAAGUCUGUAGCUUAACUAUAGAAGUGCCUUUGAUACUGCUAGUCUUGAGUACAGUUGAGGCGAGUGGAAUGUGUAGUGUAGUGGUGAAAUGCAUAGAUACUACACAGAACACCAAUUGUGAAGACAGCUCGCUAAGCUGCUACUGACGCUCAGGCACGAAAGCGUGGGGAGCGAACAGGAUUAGAUACCCUGGUAGUCCACGCUGUAAACUAUGAUCACUAGCUGUUGGCGAUAAAUUGUCAGUGGCUGAGCGAAAGCGUUAAGUGAUCCACCUGGGGAGUACGAUCGCAAGGUUGAAACUCAAAGGAAUUGACGGGGGCCCGCACAAGCGGUGGAACAUGUGGUUUAAUUCGAUGAUACGCGAGGAACCUUACCUGGGCUUAAAUGUAGAACGACGUCCUGAGAAAUCGGGAUUCCCUUCGGGGCGGACUACAAGGUGCUGCAUGGUUGUCGUCAGCUCGUGCCGUGAGGUAUCGGGUUAAGUCCCAUAACGAGCGCAACCCCUAUUGUUAGUUGCCAGCGGAUAAUGCCGGGGACUCUAACAAAACUGCCCGUGUAAACGGGAGGAAGGUGGGGAUGACGUCAAAUCAGCACGGCCCUUAUGUCCAGGGCUACACACGUGUUACAAUGGCUGGAACAAAGGGCUGCUACCACGCGAGUGGAUGCUAAUCUCUAAAUCCAGUCUCAGUUCGGAUCGG
rnacentral:rRNA from 1 species